UCCCUGGAGGACUAGUGGUUAGGGCUUGGUGCUCUCACUGCCAUGUUCCGGGUUCGAUUCCCGGCCAGGGAA
rnacentral:tRNA from 1 species